rnacentral:rRNA from 1 species
GAGUAAUGUCUGGGAAACUGCCUGAUGGAGGGGGAUAACUACUGGAAACGGUAGCUAAUACCGCAUAACGUCGCAAGACCAAAGAGGGGGACCUUCGGGCCUCUUGCCAUCGGAUGUGCCCAGAUGGGAUUAGCUAGUAGGUGGGGUAACGGCUCACCUAGGCGACGAUCCCUAGCUGGUCUGAGAGGAUGACCAGCCACACUGGAACUGAGACACGGUCCAGACUCCUACGGGAGGCAGCAGUGGGGAAUAUUGCACAAUGGGCGCAAGCCUGAUGCAGCCAUGCCGCGUGUAUGAAGAAGGCCUUCGGGUUGUAAAGUACUUUCAGCGGGGAGGAAGGGAGUAAAGUUAAUACCUUUGCUCAUUGACGUUACCCGCAGAAGAAGCACCGGCUAACUCCGUGCCAGCAGCCGCGGUAAUACGGAGGGUGCAAGCGUUAAUCGGAAUUACUGGGCGUAAAGCGCACGCAGGCGGUUUGUUAAGUCAGAUGUGAAAUCCCCGGGCUCAACCUGGGAACUGCAUCUGAUACUGGCAAGCUUGAGUCUCGUAGAGGGGGGUAGAAUUCCAGGUGUAGCGGUGAAAUGCGUAGAGAUCUGGAGGAAUACCGGUGGCGAAGGCGGCCCCCUGGACGAAGACUGACGC